rnacentral:lncRNA from 1 species
GACCAGGUCACAUGCUUACUUUAAAUCCCGGAAGGUAAGACUAUAUUGCAUAUGUGGAAUGGUUAUGCAAAGGAACAAAAACUGUCGGUUUAGUCAUCUUUUUGACACAUUUACAGAACAGCCACCUCUGUGCCACAAUGCUACUGGGACGCAGAGGUGAAGAGGUGCCACCACCGUCAAGAGGCCUUGGAGAAAGACCAUGGCACAUUAAAGAAAUAAUCGGAGGCAGCACUGGAAAAAGGAGCAUCUGGAUGCAGUAAAGACCCAUCCCUUCCCGCACUGGAGCUGUUGGCUCAUCCCUGGAAAUCACAACAAUCAAGAAUGGAGAAUCGUUCUUUUCAUCCCUUCUCACAGCAUUAUCCCAGCAACCUCAUCCCCUAACAAUGAGACAGGGGUCUCACUAUGUUUCCCAGGCAGGAUUUGAGCUCUUUGGCUCAAGCAAUCUUCUUGCCUCAGCCUCCCAGUAGGUGGGACUACAGGGAUGUACCAUCAUGCCCAGCUAAGAAACAGAUAGUGUAGCUGAGGUUCAGGGAAGUAAAACAUCAAGGUCUGAUGACAACCAAGUAUUUCCGAAGUCCAAAAGACCAUACAAGACCAGCUGUAGUCCAUCUCCCCUGAAGCCUGGCCAACAGAUCAAGGAGAACAUGGCUUGAGCUGCAAAAACAGACCAGAGAGAGAAACCCUGGGAAACUAGGCUCUAGCGGGUAGCUCAGGAGGGGAACCCACACUGCAGAGGAAAAGUAAAGAGGCCUGGGUGCCGGGAUUAACUCUAAUCAUCCGUGAGACUCUGGCAAGACAUGCUCUCCCUCAGAACCUCCAAAGACUGGAGUGAUCAGGUUUUUCAACUUUUAACAAAGGCCCAGCGUUUCUAACCAAAUAUAAUCUCCCUAAACCCUCAGUUUCUCAUGCACUUCCUCUUUGAGGAUUGCUCUGCUGCCUGUUUAUUCCUCAGAAACCAAGUUUCACUUUCUGAAAUCUGUUAUAAAGCCAGGCGACUUUUCAUUGUUACACUAUAAAUUAUGAUACCAAAUAAAAACUUCUAA